rnacentral:rRNA from 6 species
CACACCUGUUCCCAUGCCGAACACAGAAGUUAAG